rnacentral:rRNA from 1 species
GUAGGGAAUAUUGCGCAAUGGACGAAAGUCUGACGCAGCGACGCCGCGUGAGUGAUGAAGGCCUUAGGGUCGUAAAGCUCUGUUGAAUGGGAAGAAAAAAAUGACGGUACCAUUCGAGGAAGGACCGGCUAACUUCGUGCCAGCAGCCGCGGUAAUACGAGGGGUCCUAGCGUUGUUCGGAAUCAUUGGGCGUAAAGGGUGUGUAGGUGGCCAUGUAAGUCAGGUGUGAAAGCCCCGGGCUAAACCCGGGAAGUGCACUUGAUACUGCGUGGCUUGAGUACCGAAGAGGGUAGUGGAAUUCCAGGUGUAGUGGUGAAAUACGUAGAUAUCUGGAGGAACACCGGUGGCGAAGGCGGCUACCUGGUCGAGUACUGACACUGAGACACGAAAGCAUGGGGAUCAAACAGGAUUAGAAACCCUUGUAGUCC